AUUGAACGCUGGCGGCAUGCUUUACACAUGCAAGUCGAACGGGCUUAGGUGCUUGCACCUAAGUUAGUGGCGAACGGGUGAGUAAUGCAUCGGAACGUACCGUGUAGUGGGGGAUAACGCGGCGAAAGGCGGAUUAAUACUGCAUACGAUCUAAGGAUGAAAGCAGGGGAUCGCAAGACCUUGCGCUAUACGAGCUGCCGAUGGCGGAUUAGCUAGUUGGUAGGGGAAAGGCCUAUCAAGGCAACGAUCCGUAGCGGGUCUGAGAGGAUGAUCCGCCACACUGGGACUGAGACACGGCCCAGACUCCUACGGGAGGCAGCAGUGGGGAAUUUUGGACAAUGGACGAAAGUCUGAUCCAGCCAUGCCGCGUGAGUGAAGAAGGCCUUCGGGUUGUAAAGCUCUUUUGUCCGGGAGCAAAUCCUGUUCACUAAUACUGAGCGGGGCUGAGAGUACCGGAAGAAUAAGCACCGGCUAACUACGUGCCAGCCGCCGCUGUAAUAC
rnacentral:rRNA from 1 species